UGUAUGAGCUGUUUCGGAUAUUUCGUCUCCUAGAUCCUGGCCUGGCUUAUUUCGUUUCGGCGCUGCUGAGACCUCCUUUCGCGGAAUAUUACUCAAUAUCGACAGUGUGCGAAGAACGCGAGUUCACCUUCUUGACGAAAAUCGUGGACUAACAGUUCGAAGUCAUUGAACUACUUCCAAAAGUUGUAUCGACAUCAACAGGGUUACGAUUUCAGUGCAAUAUGGUGCAGGAUGACCUUAUCACGAUAACCCAUGAUUAUAAACCAUUAUAAACACAGAAUCAACAAAAACAUCUGCGACACGCACCUGGUUACAUUUCUCAAAUAAA